CAUUGUUGAUUUCUUGAAAGGUUUCUUCAAUGUAGUUCUCUAAUUUUUCUUAUAGUUAUUCAUCUGUUAUAUAAUCACGUGUGCAAUUACAUGCUUGCUGUAGAAUUAGCAUAUGAAUAUAGUGUUGCAUUGCGAAACUUUUUAGCCAUUUUUUAUGCCUGACAAGCAAAGUUUAAGUGAGAUAGUGGAGUAUAAACUGUGAAGCUUAAGUGACAAAAGUGCAGCACCAGCUACAGCUCACAGCCUCACAACACCCAACUGUAGCUUGCAGUUGCGGCUCCAUUCCUUAGCCGUGGGCAACCCAGCUGCAGCCGUGAUCCGCAUUCUCUAGAUAUGAUUAGGUUCAUCCUGUUGCGACUCGCUUCGGUAACGAAGUCAGUUUUAACUAUUUAAGUCAUGGGUAGUUUAUUUCGGUAUUAACCACUGGGUGUCAGCCCAGUGGCCACCGACACCCAUCUUAAAACCUGCAAGGUGGAGGUCGCAAGUUCGAUUCUUACCCUGAGCAGACCGGGGAAUUCACCGCUAGGCAGGGCGGACUUAUGUAGAAACUACGGGUUCCCGGGAACCCAUUCGGUUUUUAAUUUUUAGUGUAAAUAUAUAUAAGAAACUGAAAAGGAACCCAUAAGUAAAUUAUAAAGGAAACCCAUAAACAAAAAAAGCCUUGGUUCCACCGGUUAUGUCCGCGCUUUUCUUUCUAACUCACCCGAGUUCGAAUCCCGUAUCAAGUGUUUUUUUUUGUUUUUUUUUAUUUCUCUUUUUAAUUUUUUUUAUUAAUGUAAUAAAACCCAUUUAGGGUUAUAUCACAAAACACACGCCGCCGCACAGCCACAUAACAAGUAACCAACAGCAACAUCAGCAGUUCCACCAGUCCACCUCCCACUGGCUUCCUCUCCGCCGAUUGCUGCCGUCUGCCAACACCGCGACGUCCUUCCUCUCCCCUGCUCGGCUGCUCGGCUGCUCCGCCUCUGCCGAUUGCUGCCAGACACUUUGUUUUUCUUAUUCGAAUCAGCGAUUAAGAUUCUAGCAGUGCAUCAAAGAGGACGCUGGGAAUGAUCGAAGGGGAAAACGUCUUUUGUACAGUUGCACAGUAGGAUACCAACGCAACUGGAAGCCGUAUGAAUAGAAGCCACAUCACCUAACAAAAUAUCUUUUGCACAGGUUAUGCAACUAACAUAACUUGCAAUCAUAACAUGAGAUGUUGUUUUUUGGUAAAACUUAUGUAAUUAAGUAACUUUGACGAGGAUGUAACUAGCAAACGGCUUAGCAGAAAUAUAAAUAUAAUCCCGCCGCAUUGCGGCGGGUAACACUUCUA